GACGAACGCUGGCGGCGUGCUUAACACAUGCAAGUCGAACGGAAAGGCCCUGCUUUUGUGGGGUGCUCGAGUGGCGAACGGGUGAGUAACACGUGAGUAACCUGCCCUCGACUUUGGGAUAACUUCAGGAAACUGGGGCUAAUACCGGAUAGGAGCUCCUGCUGCAUGGUGGUGGUUGGAAAGUUUCGGCGGUUGGGGAUGGACUCGCGGCUUAUCAGCUUGUUGGUGGGGUAGUGGCUUACCAAGGCUUUGACGGGUAGCCGGCCUGGGUGGGUGACCGGCCACAUUGGGACUGAGAUACGGCCCAGACUCCUACGGGAGGCAGCAGUGGGGAAUAUUGCACAAUGGGCGGAAGCCUGAUGCAGCAACGCCGCGUGCGGGAUGACGGCCUUCGGGUUGUAAACCGCUUUCGCCUGUGACGAAGCGUGAGUGACGGUAAUGGGUAAAGAAGCACCGGCUAACUACGUG
rnacentral:rRNA from 1 species